rnacentral:lncRNA from 9 species
CCGAGAUAGGCCGGGGGUGGGGUACAGCGGCAGUCUCACCCUCUUCCCUCCCACCCCCACUGGCAACCUAGGGAACUUAUCGUCACUGUCUGCCAGGGGCUGAAGUCAAGUUUGAGUCAUAGAUUGCCCAGGAGGGAGAAGGGAGGGGAGAGCCCCGUUAGGAGGAAGUUCUUUAGCGCCCUCGUACCCUCUCCUCCCGUCACACUGUUCCUGAAGCUUCCUUUCCCUUGAAGUAGGGCCCUUCUGGGGGGAGGGGGCGAGCUGGGCCCACGCCUCUAUUCCGUGAACCCGGCGGGAUGGGGCGGAGCGCGAAGGCCUCAGUUCUACAGCUGCGGACAGAAGGAAUUUGUGUGGCAAUAGGAGUCCAGACGCUCAGGAAGAGAAGGCUGAGAACCCAGGAAACGUGGCGAGAUCCACUCAGGGGGGCUCCCAGGCCUCUGAACCCUCCAUCAAGUCUAAGGUCCCAAGAGCCAGGCUCGUGUCCUCCUCGGUUAUCGUCCUCCGUAUCCGCAAGGGCGACCUAAGCCUACAGUGGGAAGGGGCGGGGGCGGGGGGAGGAGGAAAGCUGAUAAAGAUCAUCCUGUCGUCCCCGCACCUCUCCCAAGACCCAGGUCUCCUGCAUAAAAGGACACACGUCUACCCUUCCUGUGCCCAGCGUGCAACUACGAGGCUGGGAGACCCCAGAGAGCAAGAGCGCUUUGACGUUUGCUCUUCCGCGGCCUUACUUCUGAAGAGAAUCCCAAACAAAAAAAAUAAAAAAUAAAAUUAUUUCUGGAAGAGACUGCUGAGAAGAUCUGCCUCCUUUGGCGAGAAGAGCUGAGAAGACUGUAAAUCAAGGAAAAGGUGAAGUAAUAAAUUAUGAGGAAAGCUUUGGUAUUUCAAGUAUAUAAAGACUAUUUAUUUUUCCUGUGUCUAUAUUUUCUCUUUUUGUGGAGGAGAGGAAAUUCUAAAAAUAUUUGAUAGAUGUUUUGCCAUUAACACCAGAAAAGUGUGUGGGGGGAAAAGAAAGGAGGGAGGGAGAGGGGGGUCAAUUUUGUUUAAUUAGUAGAAAAAGCAACAUAAAUCAAAGCAGCCUAUUGAGGCCAGUCUUUAAUUUAUAAUGUUCUGAGAGUAUAAUGAAUUUAUUUACAGCCUAAGUGAUUUGACAUACUCAAUUUGAUUUUUGUUUUAACCUUUUAUUGGGGGAGGGUUGGCUUUUUAAAGCCUGGGUAGUUUGAAACUUGGCUAAGUACCUCUGGGUUUUUUUUAUUGUGGAAGCAAAUAUUAUCAUUUUAAUGUUAAACAACUUGCAAGUAUUAAAUGGCUCAUUUGUGAUUUAUUUUUUUACAGAUUUCCCCCUUCAGGUCUAACGAUUACAUUAAGGCUCCUGCGUCUUGUUGGAAAGAAUUUAUUAUAAAUCAGAAAGUGUUAGAGGUUCAAAGAUUAAAAUUUCUGAGUGCUGAUACUUUGUCUUUUCAUUCCAUGCAAACAAGUCUAACAUUUAGAAAUUCCUAAACUUUCAAGGGAAGUUGUGGAAAUUCCCAGAUUUUUUUUUUUUUUGAAGUAGGAGGAAGCCACUUUUUUUUUUUUUUAAGUGUGAAGUUUAAUCAAAUGACGGAGAUAGGAGCUUCUGGGAAGGGGUGACACCCACCCAAACUUAGCAGCAAACGUUAGCUGAAGCUACUUAGCUAGCAGUUAAGGGUUGGGGGAAAGGGAGCCUAGACGAGCGAGGGUCGGUGAGAGGGCGCUAUUUCACCCAACCAGAAAACAGGCUUGAUAAAGGUUAGGCUCCCUUAACCAUCUCACACCUCAAAGUCACACUAGUCUUCUACAGAGUAGUGAAACCUCCCAGUGGGAUUGUCUAUCUAGAAGACAAACAUCCCUCGAAUGGUUCCCAACUACUCCAUUCAUUUCCGAAAGACAGAGGAGCCCGUUGGACCGGUGUUCACGUCCGCUGCAAGCCCUCCCUAGAUGAUACAGCCCAGUAAUUCAGAGCAGUCUUUCUUCGCCGCCCAACAGUUUUGGGAAGAAGCCCCCGAUUUCCCUUCGCCUCUUAGAGCAGCUAAGAGCGAUAGUUCCGCAGCAUCUGCAGGCUGAAGCAACACAGAUAGAGUCAUCUUAGAAUAUGUAACAGGGGCUGGAGGGGGGAGGGGCGGCGAUAGAGUUACAGGAAAAGAGUGGGUUAGACCCCUUGUCGGUGGGCAAAAGGGCCGAAUGCGUUCUGCAGGAGGGUCGGUCCCCUUCUGCAGUUCCAAAGGGGGUCUGAUCCUGUGCGCGGGCUUUCUUGGACAGGCUCCAGAUGUCCUCAGCUGUUCUGAGACAGCAAGAAAUGCCAUCUUGACCUGAAGUCUGAAACCGUUUUUAAUUCUUCUAAGCGAAGAAAUCCCACCCCCUCCCUAACCGACGCUCCCCGCUCUGCUUGUCCCAGGAAAGGGUCAGGGGGAGGGUUCCCAUUAUGCCCCCCGUGCUCCCAGGGGGGUUUAGGGCUCCCAAAGGGCACUGGCCAACCGCUACCUCCCAGCCGAGGAUGCCGGGCGCCCGGGCUCUCCGCCCCGGCUCCUCG